GGGCCGUUAGCAUAGUGGUAGUGUAGUCGCUUCGCAUGCGACAGACGGGAGUUCGAUUCUCCCACGGUCCACCU
rnacentral:tRNA from 3 species